CGGACGGGUGAGUAACACGUGGAUAACCUACCUAUAAGACUGGGAUAACUUCGGGAAACCGGAGCUAAUACCGGAUAAUAUUUUGAACCGCAUGGUUCAAAAGUGAAAGACGGUCUUGCUGUCACUUAUAGAUGGAUCCGCGCUGCAUUAGCUAGUUGGUAAGGUAACGGCUUACCAAGGCAACGACGCAUAGCCGACCUGAGAGGGUGAUCGGCCACACUGGAACUGAGACACGGUCCAG
rnacentral:rRNA from 1 species